UACGAAGGGUCCAAGCGUUGUUCGGAAUCAUUGGGCGUAAAGCGCGCGUAGGCGGCUCGGAAAGUCGGUCGUGAAAUGCCGGGGCUCAACCCCGGGACUGCGUCCGAUACUCCCGAGCUGGAGGCAGGUAGGGGAGAUCGGAAUUCCUGGUGUAGCGGUGAAAUGCGCAGAUAUCAGGAGGAACACCGGUGGCGAAGGCGGAUCUCUGGGCCUUGCCUGACGCUGAGGCGCGAAAGCUAGGGGAGCGAACAGG
rnacentral:rRNA from 1 species